rnacentral:rRNA from 1 species
AGAGUUUGAUCAUGGCUCAGAUUGAACGCUGGCGGCAGGCCUAACACAUGCAAGUCGAACGGUAGCACAGAGAGCUUGCUCUCGGGUGACGAGUGGCGGACGGGUGAGUAAUGUCUGGGAAACUGCCCGAUGGAGGGGGAUAACUACUGGAAACGGUAGCUAAUACCGCAUAACGUCGCAAGACCAAAGAGGGGGACCUUAGGGCCUCUUGCCAUCGGAUGUGCCCAGAUGGGAUUAGCUUGUAGGUGAGGUAACGGCUCACCUAGGCGACGAUCCCUAGCUGGUCUGAGAGGAUGACCAGCCACACUGGAACUGAGACACGGUCCAGACUCCUACGGGAGGCAGCAGUGGGGAAUCUUCCGCAAUGGGCGAAAGCCUGACGGAGCAACGCCGCGUGAGUGAUGACGGCCUUCGGGUUGUAAAGCUCUGUGAUCGGGGACGAACGGUCCGUAAGCUAAUACCUUAUGGAAGUGACGGUACCCGAAUAGCAAGCCACGGCUAACUACGUGCCAGCAGCCGCGGUAAUACGUAGGUGGCAAGCGUUGUCCGGAAUUACUGGGUGUAAAGGGAGCGCAGGCGGGUGAUCAAGUCAGCUGUGAAAACUACGGGCUUAACCCGUAGACUGCAGUUGAAACUGUUCAUCUUGAGUGAAGUAGAGGUUGGCGGAAUUCCGAGUGUAGCGGUGAAAUGCGUAGAUAUUCGGAGGAACACCGGUGGCGAAGGCGGCCAACUGGGCUUUAACUGACGCUGAGGCUCGAAAGUGUGGGGAGCAAACAGGAUUAGAUACCCUGGUAGUCCACACUGUAAACGAUGAUUGCUAGGUGUGGGGGGUCUGACCCCUUCCGUGCCGGAGCUAACGCAAUAAGCAAUCCACCUGGGGAGUACGACCGCAAGGUUGAAACUCAAAGGAAUUGACGGGGACCCGCACAAGCGGUGGAGCAUGUGGUUUAAUUCGAAGCAACGCGAAGAACCUUACCAGGUCUUGACAUCGAUCUAAAGGCUCCAGAGAUGGAGAGAUAGCUAUAGAGAAGACAGGUGGUGCAUGGUUGUCGUCAGCUCGUGUCGUGAGAUGUUGGGUUAAGUCCCGCAACGAGCGCAACCCUCGCCCCGUGUUGCCAGCACGUUAUGGUGGGAACUCACGGGGGACCGCCGGGGUUAACUCGGAGGAAGGUGGGGAUGACGUCAGAUCAUCAUGCCCCUUACGUCCAGGGCUUCACGCAUGCUACAAUGGCCGGUACAACGGGAUGCGACACGGCGACGCGGAGCGGAUCCCUGAAAACCGGUCUCAGUUCGGAUCGCAGUCUGCAACUCGACUCCGUGAAGGCGGAGUCGCUAGUAAUCGCGGAUCAGCAACGCCGCGGUGAAUGCGUUCCCGGGCCUUGUACACACCGCCCGUCAAGUCAUGAAAGUGGGCAGCACCCGAAGCCGGUGGCCUAACCCCUUGUGGGAUGGAGCCGUCUAAGGUGAGGCUCGUGAUUGGGACUAAGUCGUAACAAGGUAGCCGUACCGGAAGGUGCGGCUG